AACGAACGCUGGCGGCAUGCCUAACACAUGCCAGUCGAACGAGACCUUCGGGUCUAGUGGCGCACGGGUGCGUAACGCGUGGGAACCUGCCCUUAGGUUCGGAAUAACUCCCCGAAAGGGGUGCUAAUACCGGAUAAUGUCUUCGGACCAAAGAUUUAUCGCCUUUGGAUGGGCCCGCGUUGGAUUAGCUAGUUGGUAGGGUAAAAGCCUACCAAGGCGACGAUCCAUAGCUGGUCUGAGAGGAUGAUCAGCCACACUGGGACUGAGACACGGCCCAGACUCCUAAGGGAGGCAGCAGUGGGGAAUAUUGGACAAUGGGCGAAAGCCUGAUCCAGCAAUGCCGCGUGAGUGAUGAAGGCCUUAGGGUUGUAAAGCUCUUUUACCCGGGAUGAUAAUGACAGUACCGGGAGAAUAAGCUCCGGCUAACUCCGUG
rnacentral:rRNA from 1 species